rnacentral:lncRNA from 1 species
CUAGCACGUGUGAGCAUGGAAUUUCUAUUACUGCCCUCUUUAACUUAAAGGGGUUUCUUUUUCUAGCAGAGCCAGGAAUGGAUCCACACACUGUACGAGGGAAAGCUGAAGCUGUAUGUUCUGGAUUUUCUCCUGAACAAGGAAGGAAAACUCCCAGCUUGCUAUGAAAUAUGUUCCCACUGAAACAAAGUUGAGCACCACAAUGUUGGGGGAAGAGAAAAGCUGCACAAGAAGAGAGCCCUGAGGUAGGGAAUACAGAUCAAAAGUGGAUGCUACCAACCCAAGACUGCUGCAAGUUGUUCUGCUCCUUCUUGAAAUAAUCAGAAUUAGAAGUGAUUAUUUACUAGACCCACUUUCACUCCAACAGUCAUUUAUUUGCAUUUUACUUAUAGAGUAGUUCUUUACAGCUUGAAGUUGAAAAACUGGUCCUUAUCUCCUGAGCUCUAUCAGGAGUGGCAUCAGUGUCAUUUUCAUCAGGAACACACCUUCUGGAAUGGGAAUGCUGCCCUGCAGGUGCCAAAACACAGGUGUUUAAGGACAUCUGAGAUGCCCUGGGGAUCCCACCUGGCCUCUCUCUGCUGAUCCAAAAGGACACAAAAUCCUUUAGAUGCUAUCCCAGCUACCCCAAAGCAUUUCCAGUGACACAGAGGUUACUCCUAAAGGUUUGGGGUUUUAUUUUGCUUUCUUUUUUUCAUUUUGGAUGUCAUUAAUUGGUGUUUGAAUUAAACCAGUGAUGUGCAUGUAGCUCCAGGUGUUUUAUUGUCCA